rnacentral:rRNA from 1 species
GAUGAACGCUGGCGGCGUGCCUAAUACAUGCAAGUCGAGCGAACAGACCAGUAGCUUUCCCCUCUGACGUAAGCGGCGGACGAGUGAGUAACACGCGGAUAACCUACCUACAAUACUGGGAUGACUCCGGGAAAACGGCGCGAAUACAGGCAAAUAUAUUUAACGGCAUGGUGCAAUAGUGAUAGGCGGUUUUGCUGUCACUUAUCGAUGGAUCCGCGCCGCAUUAGCUAGUUGGUAAGGUAACGGCUUACCAAGGCAACGAUGCGUAGCCGACCUGAGAGGGUGAUCGGCCACACUAGAGCUGGGACACGGUCCAGACGCCUACGAGAGGCAGCAGUCGGGUAUCUUCCGCAAUAGGCGGAAGCUUGACGGAGCAACGCCGCGUGAGUGAUGAAGGUCUUCGGAGCGUAAAACUCUGUUAUUAGGGAAGAACAAAUGUGUAAGUAACUAUGCCCGUCUUGACGGUACCUGAUCAGAAAGCCACGGCUAACUACGUG